CUUCAUGUUUCUGAUGCUGACUGUUCCUGUCCCGCCAUGGUUCAGGCCUCCUCCAGAUCCACCACCGUGUAAGUCCCUCCCGCUUGGAUUUCUCUCUCCCCUCAAGCCGUCGGAACCACCAGACCCUCCGGAUGUAACUUGCCUCUGGUCCAUCACUGCCAAGUAUGUGGCUGCCGCUAGACUUCCCCCGCCAGAGACACCAUUGUUAUCUUAUCCUUCUCUGUGUGGUCAACCUUUGGUUUGGAAGAUUGCUCUACAGAUGAUUUGUUCUCUGUACUGUUCAAAGGCUCAGCAUUUUGGUGUUACACCGCCUCUGCUAUUGUAGCCAGCGUUAAGAUUGUUAUUCCUACACUAAUUGCAGAACCAAUCACAAGCAUUAGAUCACUGAUUGUGUUCUUUGUUUCCCACGGCUUCAUUCCACUGCUUAAGCCUAGUGUUGGCGAGAUAGGAAGACGUCUCUGCAAUGUUAGUUGUUUAUGUAUAGUGAUUGCUUCUAUCUUUGUGUUUUUGCUUGUCUUUUGUUGCAGCAAAGUUGUUAGCCAAUAUGACUUUGUUAUCAUCUUUGUAAACAAUUCCUCUUCUAAUGGAGACUAGUUAUCUAUAAAAUCUUGUUUGACCAAAAAAAAAAAGACACAUAAACCGAAUUAAUAAAUCUGAACCAAAUCUUACAUAAAUACUGAAAGGAUCUAUUAAUUGUCUUUUUGUUAUUUAAAACAAGCAUAAAACUUACCUAACAAGCAUAAAAUAACUCAAUGCCAAUCCAAUAUGAUAAUUAUAUGAUAAGAAAUGUGAACGAUACAGUUGAUGAUUCAGAAAAACAAAAUCAAUUUUUUCAAUAUAAAAAUAAAAUUAGUAUGCUCGAAAAGUCUUUUUAAAAAGUUAUCUAAUAAAGAUAAAUGUUUAAAGUAUACAGUAUCGUUUAUACAAAACAAAUACUUAAUCAUAAAAAUUAAAAAUAAAUAUUUGUGCGGAUGCGCGGAUUAAAUUUUAGUUAGGAAAUUAUUUUCAAGGCCACAUAUAACUUCUCUGAGCUCAAUCAUCUUGAAAAUGAGGCUUUGGAUUAGUUUACCAAUGGAUUUUACCUGAAGUAAAAGUAAUUGCACAAAGAUUCUGUUAAAUACAUUUAAUCAAGGUGAGACUUUUUGUUGUAAGUCUACUUAGUAGAUUUUCUUAUGAUAAUUUCAUUAUUGUUGUUUAUUCUUUAUUGUUUUAAUAACAUUAAUAUAUGAUCUCACUAUUAUUGAAUAUUAUUUUGAUGAUUACCAUUUUAGUUUAUUCAUACAAAACUUAAAAUUAAUCAAUAUCAUUUUGAUUUUUGUAAUUUCAAAAUUUAGUUGUAUACCAUAAAACAAGUAGACUUUAUUUGAAGCCUACUAUACCCUAAACCACAAACUCCGAACCUAAACGUUCACUUGCAAACCGAAAACUCUUAAUUAAUCAUUGUAUCAAAUAUCAAAAAUAUGUAAAAUAUAAACUACCCAACAUUGAUAUGUAAAUUUAAUUCAAUAAAACAAAAAAAAAUCUAAAUCUAAAAUCUAACCCUAAGAAUCUAAUAUUAAAAGUAGUACAUCUUUGAACAUUUUGUUGCUAAACCAUAAGCAUUGUCCACCACAUGUUACCAAACUAAUAUAUAUUCUUUUAAAUUGUUCAAUCCUAUUAAAUUUUAAUUUAUAUACUUCUUACAUUGAUGAUCUACAAUAAAUUUCACACAAAUUAUUUGUUAUACAUUUUUAAAAUAAAAAUUACGACAUAGACUUUUUUCUUUUAUUAUUAAGAAAUCUAUAUUUUGAAAACUUCGUUCUUUUAAAUGUAGUCUUCCGAAAGAUAAAAUCAUAAAAUAACUUCCUAAUUUUUUGUUUGGUCAUAAAGAAUAGAUAAUAAUUUUGCUAUUUUUUAAGUUAGUUUUUGGGUUUGAAUGUAUAUGAAUGAACUAUACUUUUGUAUUUCAAAUCAAUUUGUAGGUUUUAUUCGACAAAUCUCCCGUAUUCUGACCUAUAACAUAUUGUAGUUUUGUUAAAAAUAUUUUAUUCUAUUAUAAAUUAAAAGUCAACAGUUUAAAACAAAUUUUGACACACUUCAAUAAAACGCUCAAGCCUCAAUGCUUUACCCUUUGCCCAGAGUGGCAGAGUGAGCUUUUAUCUACACACAUGCGAUACGGCUUAGUGUUGUUUUUUUU